rnacentral:rRNA from 1 species
GAUGAACGCUGGCGGCGUGCCUAAUACAUGCAAGUCGAGCGAACGGACGAGAAGCUUGCAUCUCUGAUGUUAGCGGCGGACGGGUGAGUAACACGUGGAUAACCUACCUAUAAGACUGGGAUAACUUCGGGAAACCGGAGCUAAUACCGGAUAAUAUUUUGAACCGCAUGGUUCAAAAGUGAAAGACGGUCUUGCUGUCACUUAUAGCUGGAUCCGCGCUGCAUUAUCUAGUUGGUAAGGUAACGGCUUACCAAGGCAACGAUGCAUAGCCGACCUGAGAGGGUGAUCGGCCACACUGGAACUGAGACACGGUCCAGACUCCUACGGGAGGCAGCAGUAGGGAAUCUUCCGCAAUGGGCGAAAGCCUGACGGAGCAACGCCGCGUGAGUGAUGAAGGUCUUCGGAUCGUAAAACUCUGUUAUUAGGGAAGAACAUAUGUGUAAGUAACUGUGCACAUCUUGACGGUACCUAAUCAGAAAGCCACGGCUAACUACGUG